GAUGAACGCUGGCGGCGUGCUUAACACAUGCAAGUCGAACGGAAAGGCUCCUGCUUGCAGGGGUACUCGAGUGGCGAACGGGUGAGUAACACGUGGGUGAUCUGCCCUGCACUUCGGGAUAAGCCUGGGAAACUGGGUCUAAUACCGGAUAGGACCACAUUUUGGAUGGUGUGGUGGAAAGUUUUUCGGUGUGGGAUGAGCUCGCGGCCUAUCAGCUUGUUGGUGGGGUAAUGGCCUACCAAGGCGUCGACGGGUAGCCGGCCUGAGAGGGUGUACGGCCACAUUGGGACUGAGAUACGGCCCAGACUCCUACGGGAGGCAGCAGUGGGGAAUAUUGCACAAUGGGCGCAAGCCUGAUGCAGCGACGCCGCGUGGGGGAUGACGGCCUUCGGGUUGUAAACUCCUUUCGCUAGGGACGAAGCGCAAGUGACGGUACCUGGAGAAGAAGCUCCGGCUAACUACGU
rnacentral:rRNA from 1 species